UGACGACCUACAGUAAAAUGAGACAACUCGUCAUGGAUUUCAAUAUUUAUUGGUAUGAGGACGGCGACAUUUUCCUUGGAUUUGAUGAUCCUGGGUAACGUCCCGCAUGCCGCACACAUCAUCACCCGAUUGGGACCAGGAAUCGCCAGCGUUGGCUGGCUGUUCGACAUCGGACCAGUGAUCGCCAGUCAUUUCGUCGUCGGUGGUGGCAGGUAGUUCUCCGGAACCCAAGUCCUUCUACGACUUCCAGAAGGUUGCAACAGCCGGUCCAACGUGUCCGAAGGAUCAUCGUCGUCAUCAUUGCAUCAGUGUACAACUCGGUUUCAUAAACUAAGCACUCAAGACAUCGAAGACAUGAGGAACACGAGCGGACUCUGGAUGGAGAAGAAAGAGCGAGUUGGAAAAGACGGGAAACGUCUUCUUUCGCCAGACAUCGUGUUCGGUCAAUCCGAGUAAAAAAAUAAAAAGAAAUGGUGACAUGCCACCUUUGUCCUCCGGCCGAUCGGCAGCACUACACAACAGCGCUGGGACUUCAAGUUCAUCUGGCUAACGUUCAUAACCUUGCAACACCCUGUAUCCCAUUUUGUGAGACACUCUGUACGCUCCGCAACUAUACCAACCGCUAUGAGCUUCAUCUACAUGACAGAGACGACGACGGGCAGGAUGUCAGCACAUUCUUUCAUGAAAACGGACGCUACCUUGCCGGUGUACUUCGACAUUUCGGAUUUCCGUUACGCUUUUAUGUUUUGCUGAAGGCGGAACUCGGUCGACAUACGCCUGAGGAUGAGAUCAUAUUUGUCACUCAAUUUAUUCCUUCGAGUGUGCAUACGCUGUGGUCGGAACGAGACGUAGAACGUGCUGUCAUUGAAGUAGGCACUGAAGUCACCAACAAUUUAGAAAAGCUUGAAAUGCAAGGGUCGGGAUUUUUCUUAUUUCGAAUUCACGCCUGCAUUCUUCAUGUCGGUCGUCUCGCACCACAGCUCAUUGGUUGUACCGACUUUGAAUUGCCAAACGAAUUGAAAAAAAAAG